rnacentral:rRNA from 1 species
AGAGUUUGAUCCUGGCUCAGGAUGAACGCUGGCGGCGUGCCUAACACAUGCAAGUCGAGCGAAGCACUUUACUUAGAUUCUUCGGAUGAAGAGUUUUGUGACUGAGCGGCGGACGGGUGAGUAACGCGUGGGUAACCUGCCUCAUACAGGGGGAUAACAGUUAGAAAUGACUGCUAAUACCGCAUAAGACCACAGCACCGCAUGGUGCAGGGGUAAAAACUCCGGUGGUAUGAGAUGGACCCGCGUCUGAUUAGGUAGUUGGUGAGGUAACGGCUCACCAAGCCGACGAUCAGUAGCCGACCUGAGAGGGUGACCGGCCACAUUGGGACUGAGACACGGCCCAAACUCCUACGGGAGGCAGCAGUGGGGAAUAUUGCACAAUGGGGGAAACCCUGAUGCAGCGACGCCGCGUGAGCGAAGAAGUAUUUCGGUAUGUAAAGCUCUAUCAGCAGGGAAGAAACUGACGGUACCUGACUAAGAAGCACCGGCUAAAUACGUGCCAGCAGCCGCGGU